CCUACGGGAGGCAGCAGUAAGGAAUCUUCCACAAUGGACGAAAGUCUGAUGGAGCAACGCCGCGUGCAGGAUGAAGGCUUUCGGGUCGUAAACUGCUUUUAUAUGGGAAGAUUAUGACGGUACCAUAUGAAUAAGGACCGGCUAACUACGUGCCAGCAGCCGCGGUAAUACGUAGGGUCCAAGCGAUAUCCGGAAUUACUGGGCGUAAAGCGUGUGUAGGUGGAUUAAUAAGUGUGAUGCGAAAUCCGGCGGCUCAACCGUUUGGACUGUGUCGCAUACUGUUAGUCUAGAGGACGGCAGAGGUAAGUGGAAUUACGGGUGUAGCAGUGAAAUGCGUAGAUAUCCGUAGGAACACCAAUGGCGAAGGCAGCUUACUGGGCCACACCUGACACUGAGACACGAAAGCGUGGGGAGCGAACAGGAUUAGAUACCCUGGUAGUCCACGCCGUAAACGAUGCAUACUAUUAGUAUGGGGUAUCGACCCCCUGUGCUGAGAAGCUAACGCGAUAAGUAUGCCGCCUGGGGAGUACGAGCGCAAGCUUAAAACUCAAAGGAAUUGACGGNNGAGAGNGCGAGAGACGACGAGGAGAG
rnacentral:rRNA from 1 species